AUGCUGCUGUGUGUAGAUAGAGAAGGAAGUCUGAGAGAGCAGCUCUGUGUGUGUGGGGAGAUCCAGCAGCUCCAGUCUGAAGCAGCAGCAGCUCACACAGAUGCUCUGGAGAUCAGUGCGUGCUGCUGCAGGGCUGGGUCUACCGCUAGAUUCUGUUACAUGUUCCUAGAGUUUACUCCGAGAUUGCUGAAACUCACACCCUUUUAUGCACUAGAGCACAUCAAUGCGGGAACCCCGUCUGUAACUAGUGAUGCGCGAAUGAAAGAUCCAAAGCUUCGCGAGUGUCAAAAACAGCGCCACCUGGUGAUUAAUAACAAACAUAGCAGCCCAAAGCCCGUGGAAGACCACACACUGCAUAAAUGUUACGUGCACAAAUAAAAGCCUUACAGUGUGUGUGUGUGUGUGUGUGUGUUUGUUUGUUUAAUUUCUUUCUCUGAUAAAAUAAUUUACCCAUUAAACUGUGGCAUUAAAUGCCAAUAUGAAUAUCAAUAUGAUGUAAUAGAAGAAUGUAUACAUAUAUGAUUACAUAUAUGAGUGUAAUUGAAUAAGUCUGAAUGAAAACGUACUCGUAAAGUAAGAUCUGGGCCUUCGGCUCGAACAUUUCGACACGCGCACGUGAUUGGACAGAAAGUGAGGCUUUGUUUUCGUUGAUCACGUGAAUCUCUGAAAACAACACACACUCCGUCACAGAGCUUCGUGAGGAAUAGCACUGUGUACUCCAUGCGCGCUUUGAAGCUUCAGUGUCAUAACAUCACUACUGUAAACAUACUAAACUUAAAGAAACGUGCUUGUUUUAAGUAAUCUUUGAGUGUUGGAUAUGAUUUUUAUUGAUGUGUUAUUUAUUUAAUAUGUUGUAUUUUAUUUAUUAUUAUUAUUAUUUUAACAUGUGAAACUAUUUGUGCUGUCAUUUUGGCCAGGACUGCCUGAGGGCCGUUUCAGAAAGAAGGUUAAGGGAAAACUCUGAGUGUGUUACUGUUAACCCUGAAAUGAAGGAAACUCUGGGUUUUCUGGUUCAGAAUGGGAGGUUUGUCAAACCCAAGAAAGCAGGGUAAGUCAAGUAGAGUCUACACGGAGGACCUGGGACCCGACCCGGGGCUAUAUUUUAAAUGGUCAGCCGGGUCCGAGUCGGGUCUCAGUCUAUUACUUUGGGUCCGGGGUCUGUUUAACAUUGUGUGUAAUCCCCGAGUCGACCGGACUCGAAGAACACCCGGCCGUUAUCAGAGUCAAGUGUUGUUGUGUAACUUCCAAAUUAGGAUGAGAAAAGUGACAAUAUGGUUUGACAAUUGACUUUUUUUUAUUUAGAAGCACUUUGCAGUUUCUCAGAUUUUUAUAAUAAUAUUUUGAAUGAACCGUCUUGUUGUUAUAUCUAAAGUUUUUGCUCAGACUCGGUUCACAGGUGAAGCUAACGUCAGCAGCCAUGGCACUGGACGAGCAAUCGUUAUUAUAAUCCAUGGACAAACAGUCUAAACUAUGAUGAAAGCUGACUCGAGAUACAAACCAUGCAAAACUGCAAAGUCGCAUUGGUCAUCCGUCACCGUGACAGAGAGUGGACUUUUGAAGCUGCAGUAAUGAGUGGAUUAAUCAAGAGAGGAAUAACAGGGAUGGAAGUUUCUUGGCGAGGAGGAUUGUGUGCAUCACACUCAGGUUAAAGGGAGAAGACUUCUUACAUUAGGGAAGACAAAAAGUUUCAUUUUUGUAACUUGUUUAUUGACUUGUUUAUAGCAAUUAGCUGUGGAAUAUGUGCCGAUCAGGUCCAGUCGGGUCUGUGUCUUCCCGGCUGGGUUCGGGUCCAGCUUUCAAAUAAUUGACGGUCUGCUUCGGUGUAGUGUAGCACAUUAACGGGCCUCUUCGGGUUCGGAUACUAAUUUUUGGACCCGUGUAGACCUCCUAAAGUCAAGCCCAUUUCUGAAAGAGUGACUUGUACUCAGAGUCAGUUACUGUGGGAAAUUAUUCUAUGAACCUAAACACCUUUUUAAAGUGUAAAGGCCCGUUCACACCAAGAACGAUAACUAUAAAGAUAACUAUAAAGAUAACGAUAUUAGCGUCCACACCAGUGAACGAUAUCUUCUGUUUAUUCUAAGCGCACGCUCGUCUGGCGCUUUAAAUUCUCGAGCGCGUUACAACAGGAUGGAUUCUGAUUGGCUGUCAAUUUUUUAUCGUUCAUCAGCUGGAAAAAAAAUCGUUUUGAAAGUGAUUCCAACGAUAUCGUUUUUCUUUGUCUUUAUCGUUAUAGUUGUGGUGUGGACGCUGCUGUUCUUUAAUACUGAAAACGAUUUUUAGAACUAUAUCUUUAUCGUUAUCUUUAUAGUUAUCGUCCUUGGUGUGAACGGGCCUUAAGUGAUGUUUAAAUACUUUAUUCAUUCAUUCACACUGCAAAAAUGCUUUUCUUACUGAGUAUUUUGGAAUCUAAAUUAAGUGCAUUUUACUUAAAACAAGAAAAUAUUAAUGCAAAUGACCCAACCGAGUUGUGCCCAGCUGGAGGAAUGACCUCCCGAUCUCAAUCUUUACUCAUUUUCAAAAAACAUCUAAAGACUCAUCUUUUUCGCCUGCACUUAACCAACUAAUACUAGUACUUACCUUUUCUUUUUCUUGUCUAUCAUGUUCUUAAAAAACACCCUGGCUACGUGUUCUGUACUAGACUAACUGAGACUUGUCAUAGCACUUGUAUACCGUUGUUGUUCUCGUUGAUCUGAUUGCUUCUAUUGUUCUCAUUUGUAAGUCGCUUUGGAUAAAAGCGUCUGCUAAAUGAUUAAAUGUAAAUGGAAACAAUAAUUUUUCUUACCCCACUGGCAGAUUUGCAAAAUAAGAAAAAUACACUUAAAGGGUUAGUUCACCCAAAAAUGAAAAUUAGACUGUUUUACCUACCUUUGAAGCAUCCUAUGUGUAUAUGACUUUCUUCUUUCAGACGAAUCCAGUCGGAGUUGUAUUAAAAAUUGUCCUGGCUCUUCCGAGCUCUAUUAUUGCAGUCAGCGGGUGUUUCUGUUCAACAGUCAAAUAAAGCGUGCUGUAGUGAAUCGUGAAUAGUGUAG
ensembl:lncRNA